rnacentral:rRNA from 1 species
AGUGAACGCUGGCGGUAGGCCUAACACAUGCAAGUCGAACGGCAGCACAGUAAGAGCUUGCUCUUACGGGUGGCGAGUGGCGGACGGGUGAGGAAUACAUCGGAAUCUACUUUUUCGUGGGGGAUAACGUAGGGAAACUUACGCUAAUACCGCAUACGACCUACGGGUGAAAGCAGGGGAUCUUCGGACCUUGCGCGAUUGAAUGAGCCGAUGUCGGAUUAGCUAGUUGGCGGGGUAAAGGCCCACCAAGGCGACGAUCCGUAGCUGGUCUGAGAGGAUGGUAGCCCGCCUGAGAGGUGGAACAGGGACCGGACCACGGGGGGAGGGACAAGGGGGAAAUGGGGGACAGGGGGGGGAACCUGGACACAACCGGACGGGGGGGGAGAAAGAGGCUUCGGGUUUGUAAGGCCUUUUGUUGGGGAAAAAAAAGAGGCGGGUGAAUACCCCGCUUUUGUGAGGGGACCGAAAAAAAAAGCACCGGCUAAUUUCGUG